GGUGUUGUUGGGUAGGGGAGCGUUCUGUAAGCCUGUGAAGGUGUGUCGUGAGGCAUGCUGGAGGUAUCAGAAGUGCGAAUGCUGACAUAAGUAACGAUAAAGCGGGUGAAAAGCCCGCUCGCCGGAAGACCAAGGGUUCCUGUCCAACGUUAAUCGGGGCAGGGUGAGUCGACCCCUAAGGCGAGGCCGAAAGGCGUAGUCGAUGGGAAACGGGUUAAUAUUCCCGUACUUGGUGUUACUGCGAAGGGGGGACGGAGAAGGCUAUGUUGGCCGGGCGACGGUUGUCCCGGUUUAAGCGUGUAGGUGUGUGUUCCAGGUAAAUCCGGUUCACUUUAACACUGAGGCGUGACGACGAGGCACUACGGUGCUGAAGCAACAAAUGCCCUGCUUCCAGGAAAAGCCUCUAAGCAUCAGGUAACAUCAAAUCGUACCCCAAACCGACACAGGUGGUCAGGUAGAGAAUACCAAGGCGCUUGAGAGAACUCGGGUGAAGGAACUAGGCAAAAUGGUGCCGUAACUUCGGGAGAAGGCACGCUGACACGUAGGUGAAGUGAUUUACUCAUGGAGCUGAAGUCAGUCGAAGAUACCAGCUGGCUGCAACUGUUUAUUAAAAACACAGCACUGUGCAAACACGAAAGUGGACGUAUACGGUGUGACGCCUGCCCGGUGCCGGAAGGUUAAUUGAUGGGGUCAGCGCAAGCGAAGCUCCUGAUCGAAGCCCCGGUAAACGGCGGCCGUAACUAUAACGGUCCUAAGGUAGCGAAAUUCCUUGUCGGGUAAGUUCCGACCUGCACGAAUGGCGUAAUGAUGGCCAGGCUGUCUCCACCCGAGACUCAGUGAAAUUGAACUCGCUGUGAAGAUGCAGUGUACCCGCGGCAAGACGGAAAGACCCCGUGAACCUUUACUAUAGCUUGACACUGAACAUUGAGCCUUGAUGUGUAGGAUAGGUGGGAGGCUUUGAAGUGUGGACGCCAGUCUGCAUGGAGCCGACCUUGAAAUACCACCCUUUAAUGUUUGAUGUUCUAACGUGGACCCGUGAUCCGGGUUGCGGACAGUGUCUGGUGGGUAGUUUGACUGGGGCGGUCUCCUCCUAAAGAGUAACGGAGGAGCACGAAGGUUGGCUAAUCCUGGUCGGACAUCAGGAGGUUAGUGCAAUGGCAUAAGCCAGCUUGACUGCGAGCGUGACGGCGCGAGCAGGUGCGAAAGCAGGUCAUAGUGAUCCGGUGGUUCUGAAUGGAAGGGCCAUCGCUCAACGGAUAAAAGGUACUCCGGGGAUAACAGGCUGAUACCGCCCAAGAGUUCAUAUCGACGGCGGUGUUUGGCACCUCGAUGUCGGCUCAUCACAUCCUGGGGCUGAAGUAGGUCCCAAGGGUAUGGCUGUUCGCCAUUUAAAGUGGUACGCGAGCUGGGUUUAGAACGUCGUGAGACAGUUCGGUCCCUAUCUGCCGUGGGCGCUGGAGAACUGAGGGGGGCUGCUCCUAGUACGAGAGGACCGGAGUGGACGCAUCACUGGUGUUCGGGUUGUCAUGCCAAUGGCACUGCCCGGUAGCUAAAUGCGGAAGAGAUAAGUGCUGAAAGCAUCUAAGCACGAAACUUGCCCCGAGAUGAGUUCUCCCUGAGACUUAGAGUCUCCUGAAGGAACGUUGAAGACGACGACGUUGAUAGGCCGGGUGUGUAA
rnacentral:rRNA from 1 species